AGCGAACGCUGGCGGCAGGCCUAACACAUGCAAGUCGAACGAACUCUUCGGAGUUAGUGGCGGACGGGUGAGUAACACGUGGGAACGUGCCUUUUGGUUCGGAAUAACUCAGGGAAACUUGUGCUAAUACCGAAUGUGCCCUUCGGGGGAAAGAUUUAUCGCCAUUAGAGCGGCCCGCGUCUGAUUAGCUAGUUGGUGAGGUAACGGCUCACCAAGGCGACGAUCAGUAGCUGGUCUGAGAGGAUGACCAGCCACACUGGGACUGAGACACGGCCCAGACUCCUACGGGAAGCAGCAGUGGGGAAUCUUGCGCAAUGGGCGAAAGCCUGACGCAGCCAUGACGCGUGAAUGAUGAAGGUCUUAGGAUUGUAAAAUUCUUUCACCGGGGACGAUAAUGACGGUACCCGGAGAAGAAGCCCCGGCUAACUUCGUG
rnacentral:rRNA from 1 species